UUUCGAAUUCGAGGGCAGCAGCAU
rnacentral:siRNA from 1 species